GACGAACGCUGGCGGCGUGCUUAACACAUGCAAGUCGAACGAGACGAUUGGAAGCUUGCUUUUAAAAGUCGAGUGGCAAACGGGUGAGUAACGCGUAGACAACCUGCCUUUGAGAUGGGGACAACAGUUCGAAAGGACUGCUAAUACCGAAUGUUGUAUAUUUUCCACAUGGAAGAUAUAUUAAAGAUGGCCUCUAUUUAUAAGCUAUCGCUCAAAGAUGGGUCUGCGUCUGAUUAGCUGGUUGGUGGGGUAACGGCCUACCAAGGCGACGAUCAGUAGCGGGUCUGGGAGGAUGAAGGGGCACAUUGGGACUGAGACACGGCCCAGACUCCUACGGGAGGCGGAAGUGGGAAAUCUUCCACAAUGGACGAAAGCCGGAUGGGGGAACGCCGCGUGAGUGAAGAGGGUUUUCGGCUCGUAAAGCUCUGUUGUCGGGGACGAAUGUGCAGUAUUGGAAUAAAGUACUGUAAUGACGGUACCUGACGGGGAAGCCACGGCUAACUACGUGCCAGCCGCCGCCGUAA
rnacentral:rRNA from 1 species